ACUCAAAUGAAUAGACGGGGGCCCGCACAAGCAGCGGAGCGUGUGGUUUAAUUCGAGGCUACACGAAGAACCUUACCUAGGGUUGACAUGUCUCUAGUAGGGAAGCGAAAGCGGACCGACCCGCAAGGGAGGAGACACAGGUGCUGCAUGGCUGUCGUCAGCUCGUGCCGUGAGGUGUUAGGUUAAGUCCUGUAACGAGCGCAACCCCCGGGUCUAGUUACACGCUGUCUAGACCGACUGCCCGUGACAAGCGGGAGGAAGGUGGGGACGACGUCAAGUCAGCAUGGCCUUUAUCUCUAGGGCUACACACACGCUACAAUGGCCAGCACAAUCGGUUGCCAAGGGGUAACCCGGAGCCAAUCCAAGCAAAGCUGGUCACAGUUCGGAUUGAGGGCUGCAACCCGCCCUCAUGAAGUCGGAGUUGCUAGUAACCGCGCGUCAGCCAUAGUGCGGUGAAUACGUUCCCGGGCCUUGUACACACCGCCCGU
rnacentral:rRNA from 1 species